CUGGUGACCGAUAGCGGACAAGUACCGUGAGGGAAAGGUGAAAAGUACCCCGGAAGGGGAGUGAAAUAGAACUUGAAACCGUGUGCUUACAAGUAGUCAGAGCCCGUUAAUGGGUGAUGGCGUGCCUUUUGUAGAAUGAACCGGCGAGUUACGAUUUGAUGCAAGGUUAAGCAGUGAAUGUGGAGCCGUAGCGAAAGCGAGUCUGAAUAGGGCGUUGAGUAUUUGGUCGUAGACCCGAAACCAGGUGAUCUACCCAUGACCAGGUUGAAGUUCAGGUAACACUGAAUGGAGGACCGAACCGACUUACGUUGAAAAGUGAGCGGAUGAGUUGUGGGUAGCGGAGAAAUUCCAAUCGAACCUGGAGAUAGCUGGUUCUCUCCGAAAUAGCUUUAGGGCUAGCCUCAAGUGAUGAUUAUUGGAGGUAGAGCACUGUUUGGACGAGGGGCCCUUAUCGGGUUACCGAAUUCAGACAAACUCCGAAUGCCAAUCAAUUUAACUUGGGAGUUAGAACGCGGGUGAUAAGGUCCGUGUUCGAAAGGGAAACAGCCCAGACCACCAGCUAAGGUCCCAAAAUAUAUGUUAAGUGGAAAAGGAUGUGGCGUUGCCCAGACAACUAGGAUGUUGGCUUAGAAGCAGCCAUCAUUUAAAGAGUGCGUAAUAGCUCACUAGUCGAGUGACACUGCGCCGAAAAUGUACCGGGGCUAAACAUAUUACCGAAGCUGUGGAUUGUCCGUAAGGACAAUGGUAGGAGAGCGUUCUAAGGGCGUUGAAGCAUGAUCGCAAGGACAUGUGGAGCGCUUAGAAGUGAGAAUGCCGGUGUGAGUAGCGAAAGACGGGUGAGAAUCCCGUCCACCGAUUGACUAAGGUUUCCAGAGGAAGGCUCGUCCGCUCUGGGUUAGUCGGGUCCUAAGCUGAGGCCGAUAGGCGUAGGCGAUGGAUAACAGGUUGAUAUUCCUGUACCACCAUAAUUCGUUUUAAGCGAUGGGGGGACGCAGUAGGAUAGGCGAAGCGUACUAUUGGAUUGUACGUCCAAGCAGUAAGACUGAGUGUUAGGCAAAUCCGGCACUCUUAAGGUCAAGCUGUGAUGGGGAGAGGAAAUUGUUUCCUCGAGUCGUUGAUUUCACACUGCCAAGAAAAGCCUCUAGCUAGAAUUGUGGUGCCCGUACCGCAAACCGACACAGGUAGUCAAGAUGAGAAUUCUAAGGUGAGCGAGCGAACUCUCGUUAAGGAACUCGGCAAAAUGACCCCGUAACUUCGGGAGAAGGGGUGCUCUUUAGGGUUAACGCCCAGGAGAGCCGCAGUGAAUAGGCCCAAGCGACUGUUUAUCAAAAACACAGGUCUCUGCUAAACCGUAAGGUGAUGUAUAGGGGCUGACGCCUGCCCGGUGCUGGAAG
rnacentral:rRNA from 15 species